AGAGACAGCAGUCGCCGCGGUAAUACAGAGGGUGCGAGCGUUAAUCGGAUUUACUGGGCGUAAAGCGUGCGUAGGCGGCUUCUUAAGUCGGAUGUGAAAUCCCUGAGCUUAACUUAGGAAUUGCAUUCGAUACUGGGAAGCUAGAGUAUGGGAGAGGAUGGUAGAAUUACAGGUGUAGCGGUGAAAUGCGUAGAGAUCUGGAGGAAUACCGAUGGCGAAGGCAGCCAUCUGGCCUAAUACUGACGCUGAGGUACGAAAGCAUGGGGAGCAAACAGGAUUAGAUACCCCGGUAGUCCCUGUCUCUUAUAC
rnacentral:rRNA from 1 species